rnacentral:rRNA from 1 species
UUUGUAGGUGGUCUGUUAAGUCAGACGUGAAAUCCCUCAGCUUAACUGGGGAACUGCGUCUGAGACUGAUGGACUUGAGGGCAGGAGAGGAACGCGGAAUUCCAGGUGUAGCGGUGAAAUGCGUAGAUAUCUGGAGGAACACCGGUGGCGAAGGCGGCGUUCUGGACUGUUUCUGACACUGAAAAACGAAAGCCAGGGGGAGCAAAACGG